UUUGUUGUGCACACAGCCAUCAAUGCAGGGAUUCACUGCCUGGAGCUCCGAAGAACCAGGAGUUAAAGCAGCAUCCAUAAAUACGAGGAUUCUCCCGCCCAGUUAUCCAAUCUUUCUGCUGUAAUAGUUAGACACGGGUUCAUGUUUUACUUAACUACUGCCAGAACCUCCUGCAAAGCAGACCAGGUUGAAGUGGGUUUGAAUGUUUACUUUGACUCACAUCUCCCAAGGCUGAGCAAAGGCAGCUGCAGUGAAGGGCCUUCAGUGUGAGUGUGGAAGAAGUUCUUCCUCCUCAAAAAUUCCUGCAUGGCAUUUAUGUGGAAUCUCACACAAGCAUGUCCUGGCUCAGCACUGCCAUUCCCAGGCACUUGUAGCUGUGCAAUCAGGCUAAGGAGACAUCCAAACAUCAGCUAAAAAAACAAGUGUGAUUUAGAAAACUACUCAAAGUUAUGAGUUUUAAGAACUGAAAAGGAGUAAUGACAGUGAAUACUAAGAAAAUGUGAUUACUCAGCAUGGAAUUCUCCCAGUUGUGCUUUUCACAAGCUCUUCAAGCAGAAUUUACUCUCCAGCACGAAAUUGAAGAGCCAGUUAACUUCACUUUCUCAGGUUUAAAGGAAAUAGCAUGAAAACACUCAGUUAUGCUCACAAAAUGAUACCACGUAAUCCAAGGAUUGACUGGUUCUAGAAAUUAGCAGAGUCACUGCACGGAUGCUUUAUGGCCAUGGAGAGGCUCCCACUGACAGCCACUCUCCUGAGUUGAGAAAGUUAUUC